ACACUCCUGCGGGAGGCAGCAGUGGGGAAUUUUGGACAAUGGGCGAAAGCCUGAUCCAGCAAUGCCGCGUGAGUGAAGAAGGCCUUCGGGUUGUAAAGCUCUUUUGUCAGGGAAGAAACGGUGAGAGCUAAUAUCUUUUGCUAAUGACGGUACCUGAAGAAUAAGCACCGGCUAACUACGUGCCAGCAGCCGCGGUAAUACGUAGGGUGCAAGCGUUAAUCGGAAUUACUGGGCGUAAAGCGUGCGCAGGCGGUUUUGUAAGUCUGAUGUGAAAUCCCCGGGCUCAACCUGGGAAUUGCAUUGGAGACUGCAAGGCUAGAAUCUGGCAGAGGGGGGUAGAAUUCCACGUGUAGCAGUGAAAUGCGUAGAUAUGUGGAGGAACACCGAUGGCGAAGGCAGCCCCCUGGGUCAAGAUUGACGCUCAUGCACGAAAGCGUGGGGAGCAAACAGGAUUAGAUACCCUAGUAGUCCCA
rnacentral:rRNA from 1 species